CAGCAGCCGCGGUAAUACGUAUGUCACAAGCGUUAUCCGGAUUUAUUGGGCGUAAAGCGCGUCUAGGUGGUUAUGUAAGUCUGAUGUGAAAAUGCAGGGCUCAACUCUGUAUUGCGUUGGAAACUGUGUAACUAGAGUACUGGAGAGGUAAGCGGAACUACAAGUGUAGAGGUGAAAUUCGUAGAUAUUUGUAGGAAUGCCGAUGGGGAAGCCAGCUUACUGGACAGAUACUGGCGCUGAAGCGCGAAAGCGUGGGUAGCAAACAGGAUUAGAUACCCGAGUAGUCCCUGUCUCUUAUACA
rnacentral:rRNA from 1 species